UACAGGGGGUGCAAACGUUGCUCGGAAUCAUUGGGCGUAAAGCGCACGUAGGCGGUUCGUUAUGUCGGAUGUGAAAGCCCUUGGCUUAACCGAGGAAGUGCAUCCGAAACUGGCGAGCUAGAGUACGAAAGAGGAUCGCGGAAUUCCUGGUGUAGCGGUGAAAUGCGCAGAUAUCAGGAGGAACACCGGUGGCGAAGGCGGUUCUCUGGGCAUGUCCUGACGCUGAGGAGCGAAAGUGUGGGGAGCGAACAGG
rnacentral:rRNA from 1 species